UCUGACCAGAGCCUUCUCGUCCACUGAUGGACUCCAUUACUCACGACGUCUGCCCAGCGACGUCUGCCCUGCUGGUUCACCCGCUUGCUGAGACACCUGCGGCCACAGCAUCAGUGUGAGCAGGGCUGUCACAUCAUGUGCAGUGUGCACGUUGCCCAGCCACGCUCUCCCAGCUCUGGCUCAGCAAGGGGACACUUUGCCCUCUUGUUUCAGCCCUCAUGCAGGAGAGCUCUGUUUUAUUUCAGUAUUUGUUGCAGAAAAUAAGGGGCCCCAACAGCAGUGCAAAGACCCUAGAGAGUUUCCACAGCCACUUCCCUUCAAGUGAAAAAUGCAGUUGGAUACGCUGAGAAGACGGAAGCCAGAGACCAAGGAUGAACAGCUGGAGUGGCUUGUGAGAAGGAGGUCCUGUGAGGACCACGGAUUCAGCAGGCAGUGCAUACUGGGCAAGAGCAGCUACAGGGACCUCUUGGUUUCCAGGUCUGAAUGCUCCUGAAAUCUACAAUUGUGUUUUUAAAUACUGGCUAUUUGAUCCUGGAAAUCUCAUAGGCAUUUUUUUCUUGUUGUUGUUCUAAAUUGUAAAAAUACUUAACAGGUGAUUCCCCCCCAAAAUCUUAAAUCCCAGAGGUAUCUUCAACUGAUGUCGUCCAAAGCUCAGCUCUUGUUCUCCCACCAGGUCUGCCCUCUCUCUAUCUGGAUUACCCGUUCAUUUGAUGAGUCUCUUCAGAUGGAAACUUCAAACUUCAUUUGAGAAACCCUCCUUCACUCAACCAACCAUCACAUUCUCUCGGUUCUACCCAUUAGUCUUGGUUCAGUUCUCCUUUCUAUGAUUUUGAAUUUUCUUAUUUUGCAUUUAUCUCGCUAUUCAUCUCAGCUCUUCGAAGGCAGGACCAUUGGGUGCUCAGACCCACCCUGUAUACAAGUGUAAACUCAGCAGUGGUGGGUGCUUCGCACGUACCUGGAGGCAGAACUUGUUGGCACUCGAGCUUUCUGUGUGACUCACCAGCUUCUGUAGAAGUCUCUAUUGUGGGACAUGAAACAAACACUGCGAGCUCCUCUUGGACCCAGCCUUGUUCCUACCGCAGAGGGGUGGUCUAGCAACGUUAUGAAUGAUAAAGGACUUUGGAAUCUCCUAACCAGAGUGUUAAAUUUAUUCCUAAGUAAAAUGUGUAAGAAUAUUUUUGAAGCAGUGAACUGUGGGAUUCCAUCACCAAUAAUAGCCAAAAAUCAACUUUUAAAACGAAUACCAUAAAGAAACACAAAAUUGUCAGCUAAAACCCUUACAGUGCAACAACCAUAUUACAAUCCUGUAAGAUUGAAGGCAUGUUUCUAAGUAUAUGUAUAGAGGUAUUAAUAUGACUAAUUUUGAAGUAUUAGUGGUGCUUAUCCCUUUGUGAUGUAAUUUUAUUUUAUAGCUUUUGGGGGGUACAUUUUGUUAAUUAAAAAUUUCUUACAAUGAGUACUUUUUGUUUUUCCACAACUAGUAAUGCUUUAAAAAAAUAUAUUGUAUCCCUUUAAUUGGUAAGGUACUUGCCAAACCCCUGAAAGGUCUCUUUGUCAUGUAAAAGAGGCAGAGUUGAUGAUUGUCCAAUACUUUAAGCAGCUCCUUUCAUCAGGAGUGUGAAUGGGUUGUAGCUUAACAGUUAGCAGAGUAAAGGAUGAAGUUGGAAAUUGAGUGUUACAAGUGAGUGGCAGGAAGGUUUAAACAGAAGAUCCAGUCUGUUAAUACUCUCUCUGUGUAUGUGGAUCGUGUGACACGCGGCAAACAGACUCAUCUGGAAAAAGACGCAAGGGAGAACCUUGAUUUCCAGAAGAACUGAUGUUGGAAUUAACUGAUGAUGGAAUUAACCUACAGGAUGAAAACCGAGGGAGCCCAGCAUCCAUCUGAAGAUGGAGAUCAGCUACAAAGGGAAGAUUCCAACAUCUGAAAUACUGAGGUAAUCCCAUUACAAACGGCGAUUACACAGCAUUGUCUGAGCCCUGCCUCCAGUCCUGCUUGAGGGGUCCUGACCGGUUGCACAGAAUAUGCUCCGUGCUGUGGCUCCUCUGGGUAAACUCAGAAAGGACAGAGUCACGUGAACAUGUCCUGGCAUCGUGGAUGGUGGAACAAAGUUUCCAAGCACCAAACCCUAAGGGAGAAAUACCGUUGUUUCCGUAGUGCACAGGCACCAUGGCGCACCUGGCUGUGAAGAGCUUACCCUCCCAGAUCAGGUCUGACCGACUGCAGCACAAGGUUUCAAGCUGCCGGGUGCAGUGGGGAGUUAGGGCCCUUCUCGCGCCCCUGCCCCCACCCAGACUUUUCAGAGGCUCCCAAAGGCAUGGGCGGCGGUGUAGUGAUUUUCACCACGGUUUUCUAAAUGUUCUAAAUUUCCCAUAACAAAUUCACUAUUUAUCAGAGAAAAAGGCUAUUAAAAGAAAACCAAAAAUUUUCA